rnacentral:rRNA from 1 species
ACUCCUACGGGAGGCAGCAGUGGGGAAUAUUGGACAAUGGGCGCAAGCCUGAUCCAGCCAUGCCGCGUGUGUGAAGAAGGCCCUCGGGUUGUAAAGCACUUUCAGUGAGGAAGAAAGCUUGUCGGUUAAUACCCGGCAAGGACGACAUCACUCACAGAAGAAGCACCGGCUAACUCCGUGCCAGCAGCCGCGGUAAUACGGAGGGUGCGAGCGUUAAUCGGAAUUACUGGGCGUAAAGCGUGCGUAGGCGGCUUGGUAAGCCGGUUGUGAAAGCCCCGGGCUCAACCUGGGAACGGCAUCCGGAACUGUCAGGCUAGAGUGCAGGAGAGGAAGGUAGAAUUCCCGGUGUAGCGGUGAAAUGCGUAGAGAUCGGGAGGAAUACCAGUGGCGAAGGCGGCCUUCUGGACUGACACUGACGCUGAGGUACGAAAGCGUGGGUAGCAAACAGGAUUAGAUACCCUGGUAGGCUCUG